rnacentral:rRNA from 2 species
UCCGGUGACAAUAGCGGAGGGGAAACACCCGUUCCCAUCCCGAACACGGCAGUUAAGCCCUCCAGCGCCGAUGAUACUUGGGCCCUGGGCCCUGGAAAAGUAGGACGUUGCCGGAG